CAGUCAUCCUCUCGUCAGCACUCGCUCCAGAGCUCCCUCGAACGAUCGGCAGGAAAAAGAAUACUCGGCCUCGUCAAAUAAGGGCGAAGAAUCAACACCGCAAGCAAGCUCCGCGCUCGAUAUAUCCGAGCCCCGACGAGGCCUUCGCCGGACUGAGUCUCUAUAAGGGCUGCGGAUCCAGCGUCUCGCCGGCGGUGCGGCACGACGCAUGCCCGGGCAAGAAAACCCUUCGCAGCCUGGCCGAGCGGCGACGAAGGUGGGAGCGAAGCUCGGCCUCCAGCACACACCCACAGCCGCCUACUCCCUCAACCCCGGCGUCAUCUGAAAGUGAUGGCAAAUCAAUACCGCGCAGCAGCCACCGCCUGCGCGAUACCGUCCCUUGCACAGCCGGUAGCGCCGCUGAGCGAGGGUAGUGAGGGAGAGGAGGAGUGAUUCUUGCGGAAAGCGAGGAUGAUACGGUGAUGCGGUUUAUCCUCGAAUGCAGGAGAGCUUGCAACUGCUGAUGGAAGUUUUGUCGGAUGAAAAGUUGGGACGCAGACGGCUCUCGGCUGUGUUGCUGCUGCGGAUACAUGGAAAAUGUUUUAUUGGACGCUUCGGGAGGGAUGAGCAGCGUGGGACUGUACGUCCUGUGCUCGCUGCGGGGAAUGCUGAUGAGAGGAAGAUUGCGCUGUGUAAGGAUUCUAUAUUGGUGACUUCGCCGCUGCUGCGAGAUUCUGCAUGUAUUAUGCGAGAAUACGUAAGAAUUCGCGAGCAAGAGCUGAUUUAAUUAGUUCGCAGUGCUUCUAAUCUGGCGAUAGCGUGGAAUUUUGGGAUCGAUAUAAAUCAUGUCGAUGUUAUGACUUUCUUUUUUUAAUUGAUGACUUAACGAACAUUUCUACCGAGAGUAAUGCUGUCCAGACUGGCGCCAAGCGAUAUUAUGUUUGAUAGUGUCAGCUGAACCUUGAUGUGUCAAAAGCCAGCUGAAAAAUUUGCAACAACUUUCGACGAUAAAAAAUUAUAUAAAUAUAGCAUUGAAUUGUGCUUGCGGGACAAUUUAGGUUAUUGUUGAUUUAUCCGAAAGACCACCAGUAGACCAGAUGAUUUUGUUGAUGCUUGACUGAUAAUUUCAAACAGUUUGUAUGUUCAACUGGAUAUUGCGCAGUUUUAAUACAGUGUAGCAAUGAUAUCAAAUAUGUCUAUCGAAUUUUUCGGUAAAAAUCAAACUCUUGGUAAACAUCAGAUAAGGUACGCCAACAAAGAAUGUAAUAAUUCUAUAAAGUAAACCAAGUUUUAAUUCAAACAGAUUUAAUUAAUUCGAUAAAUCUUUUUCCUUGGAGCAUUUUGGUAAAAUCCCAUUGUUAUUUAAAUCGAAUAGCUUCGUGAACAUCCUCAAACUGCAGAAUCAUCGAAUGCGCAAAAAGCGAAUAGGUGAUGCAAAUGUGCAGCGCAUGCUGUACAAGGUAAAACGCGGACAAUUUAAAUCCUUCACACAAGUAAAAUGCGCAAUCAAAAUAAAUAAGAUAAACGAUUUCACGACGAUAAAGCUGUUUGUUUACAAGUCUCC